AAAAUAUGGAAACAUGUUGGUAGCUGUUAGACAUUUACGCACUUAUAAACACUUUUAAAUGAUUUAAAUGUUAACACACUGAUAAAUGCAGCAUGCCCAAUGCCAGCACACAGUAAGUGUCAUUCCAUCAGUUUCAGUCCGGUACCCAGUAAGUAUGGAAGUUAUAUAGAAGAACACUUAAUUAAAACAUUUAUCAUAGCUAGCAGAUGUCAGCUAUUUUACGUAAUCAGAUAUCAGCUUAUUUUACUUAGCCUCAGGUGAUUGUUAGCCAUUUAGCAGCACUUAUCUAGUAAUCAAGGCACUAAACAAGUUACUUAUUUCUACUUUUGCACCUUUGUAUUCUUAAUAAAUACAUUUGUAUCUUUGUGUGUAAACUUAUAAACUAAUAUGUAACAGUAUAAUAUGGUGUGUGGAACGUUGGCUUUAGCUAAAGCAUAAUGGUGGCAAAAUAGACAUAGCUGAGAGAUUAGAAGUAACAGUUUGAAAUCUAAGGGUGGCGAAUGAUGGAGAGAUAUGAGGGGAAAUGUAAAGUUUAAUAAGACUGAACCAAGGUCGGAAGUUAAUGGUGGCGAGACAGAGAAUAUUAGAAUCAAAGAUAGAUUGAUGCGAGAGGAGUACAGCAUGCAAGAUAAUGUGGCAGAGAUAGGGCUAAAAAACUGUAAUAAAAAGCUGCCUGUUUCUGUGAAUCGGAGAGCAAUUAGAGAACGGACAGGUGGUGUCAUCUCUGAAUGUUCCAGCCGAUGUUUGCAAAUAAAGGCUUUCGUCUUCUUGAAGAAUUAUCUGUGUCUGUGUCAUCUUAUCCAACUUUGAGUCUCUAAACCACGACAAAGUUGACGCAGCGAUAAGGUCAGGAAGAGACCGUUAAUUAAAAGACAAACAGCCCAGUGCGCUUCCCAGCCCCUCUGUGGCUCCUAGGGACAACUGGAACAGGAUUGCCACCCAUCAAAAUUAUGCAGUUUUCCACUUCAUUUGGACUAAUAACCUGUUGAACAUGGGAAGCCAUUGGGGACACAGAAGUGCCUAUGUAGUUAGAAAGUCUCUCAGACCCAAGAAUCUGUCACUAAAUUAUUCUAAAAGGUGGCCCGGAGGAUUGUCCGAGAAGGCUGCGUUGUGUGGAAAAGCAAUAGCAGUUGGAGGUAGACCAGGAGGAAGGACCCUUUAAACCUGGAGACAAGGUGUAUGUAUGAGCUUUCCGAACCAUCCACCACUGUUCCUGUAGAAGGUUGAUCUACCUGGUACCAUCUCAAUCCUUACAUGAGGGCUGUCACGCAGGUACGACUCGAUAAUAGCCCUGAGCUACUGUGAAGCAACUGCCAAUGAUGACGGGUGAAGACGAAUCUGGCCCUCAAGGAAAAUGGACCUCGUGAUAGAAUACUACUACGAUGGAGAAGAAGUGUUAGGAAAAUGCAAAACAAAGUGUGUAAGGGGAGCUGGAUCUUUUUUUCCUGCCUCACGUAAUAGGGGUGGGUUUUUGGCCCAGUCUCCCAGGGAGCCAAAGAAAGAACACUGCACGGCAUUACACUGUUAAUUAAAAUACCCUGCAUUUUAGGACUCUAUGAGCGAUUUGACAUGGGGUUGUGUGUGUGUGGUUGUCUUUGUCUGUUGAGACUCGGAAGAAUCUCAAAGGAGGGAGUUAUAUGGAAGUUAUAUAGAAGAACACUUAAUUAAAACAUUUAUCAUAGCCAGCAGAUGUCAGCUAUUUUAUGUGAUCAGACUUCGGCUUAUUAUACUUAGCCUCACGUGAUUGUUAGCCAUUUAGCGGCACUUAAUUAAAUCAUUUAUCUAGUAAUCAAGGCACUAAACAAGUUACUUAUUUCUACUUUUGCACAUUUGUAUUCUUAAUAAAUACAUUUAUAUCUUUGUGUGUUAACAUAAACUAAUAUGUAACAGUAUAAUAUGGUGUAUGUAAUCUUGGCUUUUGUUAAAACAUAAUGGUGGCAAAAUAGACAUAGCUGAGAGAUUAGAAGUAACAAUUUGAAAUCUAAGGGUGGCAAAAGAUGGAGAGAUAUGAGGGGAAAUGUAAAGUUUUAGAAAACUGAACCAAGGUCGGAAGUUAAUGGUGGUGAGACAGAGAAUAUUAGAAUCAAACCUAGAUUGAUGCGAGAGUAGUACAGCAUGCAAGAUAAUGUAGCAGAGAUAAGGCUGAAAAACUGUAAUAAAAAACUGCUUCUGUGAAUUGGAGAGCAAUUAGAGAACGGACAGGUGGUGUCAUCUCUGAAUGUUCCAGCCGAUGUUUGCAAAAUAAAGGCUUUCGCCUUCUUGAAGAA